AGGAAGGCUGUGUAUUUUGACGACAAAACUGAUAAAGGUGUGCCUCUCACCCACGAUUUGGCUCUAGAUGUGUUAAAUGAUGGUAACUAGUCCGAAAUAGAAGAUUUAGAUGGCAAAAAUGAUGUUGCUUUUGAUGUUAAAAUGUUUAAAAAUAACACCGAUGACAAGGAUAUUGAAGAAACUGUAUUAGAUGAAGAAUCUGUAUUGGAUGAAGAACCUGUUCCUUCAACAAGCUCUUCUUCAGCAAAGAGGCAAUGGAAAGACAUGACAUUUCAGCAAAAAAUGUUUGUUCUAUUUUAGUUAGUAUGUAAUAGCAUAUUAAACAAUUAUAAAGAUAAUUUUUAUUUGGCCCUAAUGGUGUUUUACGUUUAAUAAAAAUGAAUUUUUUCAUACACUUAC